CAAAUUAGAUUUUUUGUAUAUGUUCUAUAAAAUUUCAGAUUGUUUUUCAAAAACUACACAGAAAUAAAAAUAACCUCACCUCUAGAGCACACCGUUGAGAGUGAAAGAAGGUAUUUUAGAAUACCUUAUUUGUUGAGGAAUUAUUAUUAUUAUUAUUAUUAUUGCUGCAUAUCAUUUCUAAUGAUGGAUGCCGAUGAUCGAACCCUGGUUGCUGGGGUUUAGAGUCGAACACCAUACCACAAGAACUAGGGAACAUCGGC
rnacentral:lncRNA from 1 species